rnacentral:rRNA from 1 species
UACGAAGGGGGCUAGCGUUGCUCGGAAUCACUGGGCGUAAAGGGUGCGUAGGCGGGUCUUUAAGUCAGGGGUGAAAUCCUGGAGCUCAACUCCAGAACUGCCUUUGAUACUGAAGAUCUUGAGUUCGGGAGAGGUGAGUGGAACUGCGAGUGUAGAGGUGAAAUUCGUAGAUAUUAGCAAGAACACCAGUGGCGAAGGCGGCGCACUGGCCCGGUACUGACGCUGAGGUGCGAAAGCCAGGGGAGCAAACGGG